rnacentral:piRNA from 1 species
AGACCAGUGUUGCCCUGCUCCGUGAGCCU